UACGUAGGGUGCGAGCGUUGUCCGGAAUUAUUGGGCGUAAAGGGCUCGUAGGCGGUCUGUCGCGUCGAAAGUGAAAACCCAGGGCUUAACCCUGGGCCUGCUUCCGAUACGGGCAGACUAGAGGUAUGCAGGGGAGGAACGGAAUUCCUGGUGUAGCGGUGAAAUGCGUAGAUAUCUGGAGGAACACCGGUGGCGAAGGCGGCAUCCUGGACCGGUAUUGACGCUGAGGCGCGAAAGCCAGGGGAGCAAAGCGGGG
rnacentral:rRNA from 1 species